AUCGGCACAAUCGGAUGUGUCCUCACAGAUCACCUCGUCGCACAUGACGGUUCCACUGUCGCAGACGCAGAUCUGGCAGGGCUCUGGUUUCCAUACAUCCUUAUCGUUGUACAACUGUCCAUCUAAUGUGCAGCUGCCGAAUGUGCCUGAGAGGAGAGAACAGGGCACCUCAGUGGAGAGGAUAGAGGAUUCAUCUGUGCACCAUAUGUGAUGGUUUCAAAGGUAAACGGCACAAUGCCUCCCUUCACACCCUGUCAAUGAUGUUUUCUUAAGGCCCCCAGUUCCCAGUUCUUGACAUUACAUCAGCGUUUGGCAGCGAAGGAUGAAAAGAUGGCUCUUAGCUCGGAUUUGUAGGACUCCCUCCAGGACCGAGCAGGAAACCACAGGAAUGAUUUGCCGAGGUGUGACAGCAGCCUCCAGCCUGGUCGUGUUGUUCCAGCACCAGGACUCUCUUCCCUGCUUUGGCCAGCGUGGCUCCAGCCGUCAGCCCGCCGAUACCACUCCCAAUGACGAUGACAUCCAGGUUCUGGGGCACUUUGUCGAGGUUGAAACCUGAACAGAAACAUACAGAGGUGAAGGGGUUCUUUUCAUCCGAGACGCCCUUGAUCAGCGGGUCGUUGGGUGACAGUUCUUCCACAAAAGCAACUGUUUCUGCACAGUUUGCACCCACCUGUUGUUCAGAGGGA